rnacentral:rRNA from 1 species
UACGGAGGGGGCUAGCGUUGUUCGGAAUUACUGGGCGUAAAGCGCACGUAGGCGGCGACUCAAGUCAGAGGUGAAAGCCCGGGGCUCAACCCCGGAACUGCCUUUGAAACUAGGUUGCUAGAAUCUUGGAGAGGUCAGUGGAAUUCCGAGUGUAGAGGUGAAAUUCGUAGAUAUUCGGAAGAACACCAGUGGCGAAGGCGACUGACUGGACAAGUAUUGACGCUGAGGUGCGAAAGCGUGGGGAGCAAACAGGG